rnacentral:rRNA from 1 species
UACGUAGGGCGCAAGCGUGUCCGGAAUUAUUGGGCGUAAAGAGCUCGUAGGCGGCCUGUUACGUCUGCUGUGAAAUCCCCGGGGCUUAACCCCGGGCGUGGCAGUGGAUACGGGCAGGCUGGAGGCAGGCAGGGGAGAACGGAAUUCCCGGGUGUAGCGGUGAAAUGCGCAGAUAUCGGGAGGAACACCGGUGGCGAAGGCGGUUCUCUGGGCCUGUACU